rnacentral:rRNA from 1 species
AACGAACGCUGGCGGCAGGCUUAACACAUGCAAGUCGAGCGCCCCUCAAGGGCACCGGCAGACGGGCGAGUUACGCGUGGGGAUCUACCAAUCUCUACGGAAUAACGAGUGGAAACGUGUGCUAAUACCUUAUACGCCCUUCGUGAGCAAGAUUUAUAGGAGAUGGAUGAGCCCGCGUUGGAUUAGCUAGUUGGUGGGGUAAGGGCCUACCAAGGCGACGAUCCAUAGCUGGUCUGAGAGGAUGAUCAGCCACACUGGGACUGAGACACGGCCCAGACUCCUACGGGAGGCAGCAGUGGGGAAUAUUGGACAAUGGGCGCAAGCCUGAUCCAGCCAUGCCGCGUGAGUGAUGAAGGCCCUAGGGUUGUAAAGCUCUUUCGCCGGUGAAGAUAAUGACGGUAACCGGAGAAGAAGCCCCGGCUAACUUCGUGCCAGCCGCCGCAGUAAUAC